CCUACGGGAGGCAGCAGUGGGGAAUAUUGCACAAUGGGGAAAACCCUGAUGCAGCAAAGCCGCGUGAGUGAUGACGGCCUUCGGGUUGGAAAGCUCUGUCUUCCGGGACGAUAAUGACGGUACCUGAGGAGGGAGCCACGGCUAACUAAGAGCCAGCAGCCGCGGUAAUAGGGCGGUGGGGAGCGUUGUCCGGGUUUACUGGGGGUAAAGGGGGCGUUGGCGGGCUUUUAAGUGAGAUGUGAAAUACUCGGGCUCAACUUGAGUGCUGCAUUUCAAACUGGAGGUCUAGAGUGCAGGAGAGGAGAAUGGAAUUCCUAGUGUAGCGGUGAAAUGCGUAGAGAUUAGGAAGAACACCAGUGGCGAAGGCGAUUCUCUGGACUGUAACUGACGCUGAGGCUCGAAAGCGUGGGGAGCAAACAGGAUUAGAUACCCGGGUAGUC
rnacentral:rRNA from 1 species